UUAGGUUUCCUCUUGAAACCAAAUCGAGAAUCCAAUUCACUAGCAGAGACAUGAGAUGAGAGUGAAAACCAAAUGCCGGAGUUCCCUGUUGCUCCAAGACUCACUCGCCGUCACUGGCCAAGGUUCGAUGUUAGUCUGCCAAGGGUUGGAAGAAGUAUUCUAAGACGAGAAGAACACAGAAACAAGAUGGGUUUUGUCUGAGAAGAUUUGUCGAGAAGAAGAAGGGAAGAAAGGCUGCUACUGUUGUGAUUCGAAUCGCAAAGUUAUGGUGGAGUUUUGAACAGAUUUCAUAUGCCAAGAAACCAGUGGAAAUGAGUUGUUGCUGAACUGUUUUUUUUUUUUUUUGUGGCUGUUAACAAGGGUUGAGAGUUCCAUUUGAGACCGAACAUACAAGGCAGAAGAACUGAUGCUGUUGUUGUUGGAAAUGGAGAACUAGACAGGGGAAUUCUUAAUUACAGCAGCACCAUCAAUUCUGCUCAUAUGAUGUUCGCUGAAUUGUCUUAACUAAGAAGAUGCAGAAUUUAUAUGGUGUUUAAGUCAGAUACUGGCUGUACAUGCAGCGAGAAGAGGAGGAUGGAACUGAAGCUAAGACUUAGUUGCUGAAUAACUUGUUGCUGCUGCCAUGAAUGUAUGUGAGCUGUGGUUGUUAUCUCAGCUGGAGAAACCCAAAGAAGUAUUGCUGCUGCUGGGAUAUGGAGGAGAUUCAAAUGGGUUUUCGAACCUGAAAUCUGUAGCCUGGAUUUGAGCUGGAGAAAGAGGAAGAAUGUGUUGUUACCAAUGGAUCCAGUUUGGAGAUCGAUUUUGGUGGUACUUUGAGCUGAACUGCAUUCGAGCUGAAGUGUUGCUGCUGUCCAUUGUGCUGACAUUGUAAUGGAGUUUGUGCUCGAGGUUAAGAAUUUCAGGAGAUGGAAGUGAUGUUAUCUUCAAAAGAAGGAGAUGAGUUUGGUGAAUUGUUGGCCUGAAAUCUAGCUGAGGAGAUGUUGUUGCUGUGAGUUAAAUGGGUUGCAGUUGACAGGGUCUUGUGUGAGUGUUGCAGAACAUAGUGAUGCUGCUGCCAUGGCCAUGUGGAUUGUGUGGAUGAACUAGUUGGGGUCGAUUGUGAGCAGAAAUGGGUUUUUGAAUCUGGAGAGAGUGGAUUGAUUAUUGGUGCUGAUGCUAUUAAGACGAGCAUAAACAAUGAGUUAGUUUGCCAGAAUUUCUCGUCAUUAUACAAGGCUACAAUUGGGUUGUUUGGAUUGUAUCUUGAGCUGAAAUGCAGCUGCAACAGGUGUACUGUGACUGAGCUUACAAGGUUUCGAAUUCAAUGGCUAGCCUUGGCUCGAUGGCUAUGUAUGAGGGUCACUUGGCAGAGGCUAGGAAGUAGUUUGUUGGUUGUCUGCAACGGUUAGUUGCCAUGAGUCCGGUGAAUGUUUGGCAGCAGAUAAGGCUAGACCAAGAAGCCUACAGGAUAUGGAGAUAUGGUACCACAUUAUUUCAGGUAUGGAAAGAGUUUCUUGCCGAGAAAACAAGCCACAAGUACUGUCUGUGCGACUGAUUAUUGAGAUGAAUGGCUGUGAUUAUUGGUUGUUUUAGAGUUUAUAGUAAAUAAGGAAAGUGGAUAUGCGUCUAGGUCACGACAUUACAGCGCAGAAGAGCUAUAUAAGGAGGCGCAGAAACAAAUAGAAGACCUACCUCUUUAUCACCAGUUUGUGCUUGCAGAUUGUUGCAGAAAUUCCUGCGAGAAGAAACUACACGGAACCGGCACCUGAACCUGUUUUCGCAAUUGCUGCAGAGUUUGCUUUAGCCCUGAACCUUAUUUACUUUGAAUAUACCUUUGUGCUUAAACCAAAACUAUGAGCAGCUAAUAACUUUAUUGAUUGGGGAGGAUUUCAAAACUCCAAGCAUGUUUUAUUAAUCAAUUCAAGCAAGUUAUUCUUUCAUAAA